rnacentral:rRNA from 1 species
AAUGCCGGAUGCUCCAUCACACUGCAUGGUGUGUUGGGAAAGCCUUUGCGGCAUGGGAUGGGGUCGCGUCCUAUCAGCUUGAUGGCGGGGUAACGGCCCACCAUGGCUUCGACGGGUAGCCGGCCUGAGAGGGCGACCGGCCACAUUGGGACUGAGAUACGGCCCAGACUCCUACGGGAGGCAGCAGUGGGGAAUAUUGCACAAUGGGCGCAAGCCUGAUGCAGCGACGCCGCGUGAGGGAUGGAGGCCUUCGGGUUGUAAACCUCUUUUGUUAGGGAGCAAGGCAUUUUGUGUUGAGUGUACCUUUCGAAUAAGCACCGGCUAACUACGUGCCAGCAGCCGCGGUAAUACGUAGGGUGCAAGCGUUAUCCGGAAUUAUUGGGCGUAAAGGGCUCGUAGGCGGUUCGUCGCGUCCGGUGUGAAAGUCCAUCGCUUAACGGUGGAUCCGCGCCGGGUACGGGCGGGCUUGAGUGCGGUAGGGGAGACUGGAAUUCCCGGUGUAACGGUGGAAUGUGUAGAUA